CCUACGGGGGGCUGCAGUGGGGAAUAUUGGACAAAGGGGGGAACCCUGAUCCAGCCAUGCCGCGUGUGUGAAGAAGGCCCUCGGGUUGUGAAGCACUUUCAGUGAGGAAGAACGCCUGGUGGUUAAUACCCAUCAGGAAAGACAUCACUCACAGAAGAAGCACCGGCUAACUCCGUGCCAGCAGCCGCGGUAAUACGGAGGGUGCGAGCGUUAAUCGGAAUUACUGGGCGUAAAGCGCGCGUAGGUGGCUUGAUAAGCCGGUUGUGAAAGCCCCGGGCUCAACCUGGGAACGGCAUCCGGAACUGUCAAGCUAGAGUGCAGGAGAGGAAGGUGGAAUUCCCGGUGUAGCGGUGAAAUGCGUAGAGAUCGGGAGGAAUACCAGUGGCGAAGGCGGCCUCCUGGACUGACACUGACACUGAGGUGCGAAAGCGUGGGUAGCAAACAGGAUUAGAUACCCUAGUAGUC
rnacentral:rRNA from 1 species